rnacentral:misc_RNA from 1 species
AAGUCGUAACGAGGUUUCCGUAGGUGAACCUGCGGAAGGAUCAUUAACACGUAUCCCAACCGCGUAGUUCGCAAUCUCUGAUAAAUCAUAGCCCGGAAAGUUGUAGUGAUUCAGAGACCUCUGGCUACGUGCGAACAUUGGAACAGUUACAAUCGAGCGGUAGUUCUAUAGGCAAUGUUUCUCCAAGCAGUCAGUGUCGGAAAGUGUCAUUGAUUGUGCAAGGAUAGCGCUUCUACGAUUCCUGUAGACCGUACACUCGGGCAGGAGCUUUGCCAAAGGGUCCCCAUGCCCCCUAAUAACCCCACAGUUUAAUGUGAAGCUCAAUGUAAUACAUUGGGUAAAAAAACCGAACAACUGUUAACAAUGGAUAUCUUGGUUCUC